GAUGAACGCUGGCGGCGUGCCUAAUACAUGCAAGUCGAGCGAACAGACGAGGAGCUUGCUCCUCUGACGUUAGCGGCGGACGGGUGAGUCACACGUGGAUAACCUACCUAUAAGACUGGGAUCACUUCGGGACACCGGAGCUAAUACCGGAUAAUAUAUUGCACCGCAUGGUUCAAUAGUGAAAGACGGAUUUGCUGUAACUUAUAGAUGGAUCCGCGCCGCAUUAGCUAGUUGGGAAGGUAACGGCUUACCAAGGCAACGAUGCGUAGCCGACCUGAGAGGGGGAUCGGCCACACUGGAACGGAGACACGGUCCAGACUCCUGCGGGAGGCAGCAGUAGGGAAUCUUCCGCAAUAGUCGAAAGCCUGACGUAGCAACGCCGCGUGAGUGAUGAAGGUCUUCGGAUCGUAAAACUCUGUUAUGAGUGAAGAACAAAUGUGUAAGUAACUAUGCACGGCUUGACGGUACCUAAUCAGAAAGCCACGGCUAACUACGUG
rnacentral:rRNA from 1 species